AGAGUUUGAUCCUGGCUCAGAACGAACGCUGGCGGCAUGCCUAACACAUGCAAGUCGAACGCGUGGCUUCGGCCACGAGUGGCGCACGGGUGAGUAGCGCGUGGGAACCUGCCCUGUUGUGGGGGAUAACCGAGGGAAACUUCGGCUAAUACCGCAUACGCCCUUCGGGGGAAAGAUUUAUCGCAGCAGGAGGGGCCCGCGUCGGAUUAGCUAGUUGGUGAGGUAACGGCUCACCAAGGCUAUGAUCCGUAGCUGGUCUGAGAGGAUGAUCAGCCACACUGGGACUGAGACACGGCCCAGACUCCUACGGGAGGCAGCAGUGGGGAAUAUUGGACAAUGGGCGCAAGCCUGAUCCAGCAAUGCCGCGUGAGUGAUGAAGGCCUUAGGGUUGUAAAGCUCUUUCGCACGCGACGAUGAUGACGGUAGCGUGAGAAGAAGCCCCGGCUAACUUCGUGCCAGCAGCCGCGGUAAUACGAAGGGGGCGAGCGUUGUUCGGAAUUACUGGGCGUAAAGGGCGCGCAGGCGGCCAUAGAAGUCAGGCGUGAAAGCCCCGGGCUUAACCUGGGAAAUGCGUUUGAGACUCUAAGGCUUGAGUUCGGGAGAGGUGAGUGGAAUUCCCAGUGUAGAGGUGAAAUUCGUAGAUAUUGGGAAGAACACCGGUGGCGAAGGCGGCUCACUGGACCGAUACUGACGCUGAGGCGCGAAAGCGUGGGGAGCAAACAGGAUUAGAUACCCUAGUAGUCC
rnacentral:rRNA from 1 species